rnacentral:hammerhead_ribozyme from 1 species
GCAUUGCUGAGGAGUCCCACAAUAGGACGAAACGGCUGACCAAUGC